rnacentral:rRNA from 1 species
GUGUCAGCAGCCGCGGUAAGACGAAGGUGGCGAGCGUUAUUCGGAAUCACUGGGCUUAAAGGGCGCGUAGGCGGAACGGCAAGUGUCUUGUGAAAUCCCCCGGCUUAACCGGGGAAUGGCUGGGCAAACUGCCGUUCUUGAGGCAAGCAGGGGUGCGUGGAACUCUUGGUGGAGCGGUGGAAUGCGUAGAUAUCAAGAGGAACGCCGAUGGUGAAGACAGCGCACUGGGCUUGUCCUGACGCUGAUGCGCGAAAGCGUGCGGAGCAAACAGGAUUAGAUACCCUGGUAGUCCACGCCCUAAACGAUGCCUACUAGGUUGUGGAGGUUCUGACGCCUUCGCAGCCGAAGCAAAAGUGUUAAGUAGGCCGCCUGGGGAGUACGGUCGCAAGGCUAAAACUUAAAUGAAUUGGCGGGG